rnacentral:rRNA from 1 species
CCGCCCGGACCCCAUGGUCGGCGCUUCCGCCUAAUCCAGCUAUGCAUCCAACGCUGCUUGUGGCAGCCUCUCCCAUUAUGGUCCGACCUUGCUAGGCGGCUCGCCCCUAGUUGAAUUACAGGUGGCGCUACAGGCGCGAAAACUUUUGCCAAUACACCGUAAAGCUGUGACAGGGCUUAUCCCGGAGAUGCCAUCCCGCGUGGAGGUAAGGCGUUUUACCCGAGGGUUAGAACCGCGUGGGGGUAAUAAGGAGAGGGCAAGAGUGGAUGUCAGCCGCCGCGGUAAUACCAGCCUAUCCGAGGUGGUGUGGAUUGUUUAUUUUGGCCUUAAAGCAGUCCGUUAGCUGGCUGGGCAAGUCCCCUGUUUAAUCCACCGAUUUAUCCGUUGGAAGUGCGGGGGAGACUGGUUCGGCUAGGGGACGGGAGAGGCAGACGUAUUUUCGGGGUAGGGGUGAAAUCCUAUAUCCCGGAAGACCACCAGUGGCGAAGGCUGUCUGCUAAACGCGCCCGACGGUGAAGAUGAAAGCUGGGGAGCGAACCGGAAUUAGAUCCCGGGAGUCCCAUCUUGUAACGAUGCAGG